rnacentral:rRNA from 1 species
GACGAACGCUGGCGGCGUGCUUAACACAUGCAAGUCGAACGGAAAGGCCUCUUUCGGGGGUUACCGGGUGGGGAAAGGGUGGGGAACACCGGAGUUAACCGGCCUUUACCUUGGGAAUACGUUCAGAAACCGGGGGUUAAUACCGGUAGGAACUUCCGGCGCCAUGUGGGGGGUGGGAAGGUUCGGCGGGUGGGGGUGGGAUUGCGGCUUAACAGCUUGUUGGUGGGGGAGUGGCUUACCAAGGCUUUGACGGGUAGCCGGCCUGAGAGGGUGACCGGCCACAUUGGGACUGAGAUACGGCCCAGACUCCUACGGGAGGCAGCAGUGGGGAAUAUUGCACAAUGGGUGGAAGCCUGAUGCAGCAACGCCGUGUGCGGGAUGACGGCCUUCGGGUUGUAAACCGCUUUCGCUCAUGACGAAGCUUUGUGUGACGGUAGUGGGUAAAGAAGCACCGGCUAACUACGUG